UUCCAGACUCCUACGGGAGGCAGCAGUGGGGAAUCUUCCGCAAUGGGCGAAAGCCUGACGGAGCAACGCCGCGUGAUCGAAUGAAGGCCUUCGGGUUGUAAAGAUCUGUUGACAGGGACGAAUAAACAAUGCGAAUAGUUUUGUGUAUGACGGUACCUGAGGAAUAAGCCACGGCUAACUACGUGCCAGCAGCCGCGGUAAUACGUAGGUGGCAAGCGUUAUCCGGAUUUACUGGGUGUAAAGGGCGUGUAGGCGGGAAAGCAAGUCAGAUGUGAAAACCACGGGCUCAACCUGUGGCCUGCAUUUGAAACUGUUUUUCUUGAGUACUGGAGAGGCAGACGGAAUUCCUAGUGUAGCGGUGAAAUGCGUAGAUAUUAGGAGGAACACCAGUGGCGAAGGCGGCUUACUGGACGGUAACUGACGUUGAGGCUCGAAAGCGUGGGGAGCAAACAGGAUUAGAUACCCUCGUA
rnacentral:rRNA from 1 species